AUUUCCCCAUUUCCCAUGACUGAGGAAGAAAAAUAGAGAUGGGGUGCAUGAUGCGCUUUGCCCAUUGGAGAUUCAUUCUCUUCAGCACUUGGAGCGGAAGAUUUACUAGCAUCAUUUGCAAUUGAGAGACUUUGCAGUAUGGAAGUAGCAAGGUCUUUUGCAUCACCAGAAAGACGAUUUUCUGAAACAGCAGGCCCAUUUGCAGAAUUUUGCACUUCAUUAAUUGUUCCACUAAAAUUUGUUUUCUUACCUGAUACCUUAACAUUGCCCGGAUGCAAAGGUUGCUCAUGAUUCAAUCUACAUUCUCCAGUUAUGCCACUUGAAUUAGAAGAUUCUGAUUCACAAAUUGUAUGAUUGUCUUCAUAUGACUCUGCACCUGGAAAUGUCGGUCUGCCAGUAAACCCAUGCUGUCCAUCUGAAGUUGCAGGAUCUUGAACAUCAGGUCUCUGUCCACUUCCAUGUCUAUCUAAAGUGUUCGAAAAAAAUUUAGAAAGUUCCUCGGUUAUGCUUUCUUCUGGCUGAGAAAGGAUGCG
rnacentral:misc_RNA from 1 species